rnacentral:rRNA from 1 species
UACGUAGGGUGCAAGCGUUGUCCGGAAUUAUUGGGCGUAAAGAGCUCGUAGGCGGCUUGUCACGUCGGCUGUGAAAACCCGGGGCUCAACUCCGGGCCUGCAGUCGAUACGGGCUGGCUUGAGUGCGGUAGGGGAGACUGGAAUUCCUGGUGUAGCGGUGAAAUGCGCAGAUAUCAGGAGGAACAUCAGUGGCGAAGGCGACCGCCUGGCCCAACACUGACGCUGAGGUGCGAAAGCGUGGGUAGCAAACAGG